CUGGGGUUGUGGCUCAGUGGUUGAGCAAAUGCCUCACAUGCUUGAGGCGCUGGGUUCUAUCCUCACACCACAUA
rnacentral:tRNA from 1 species